rnacentral:miRNA from 1 species
UCAGGCUCUCAGCCCGAGCC